GACUUGUCCUCUUCCUUCUCCCCUCCUUACCACCCCACUUAGGCUGAAAACCACCUCACACCUCCUUCUGUGUCCUUGAACCCAGAACAGAACCAUGACCACUAGCACCAUCUGAGUGUUUAUUGAUUCCAGCUCCUGUUACUCACCUGAUACAGGCCGGGCGCAGUGGCUCACACCUGUAAUCCCAGCACGAGGUGGAUGGAUCACAAGGUCAAGAGAUCAAGGCCAUCCUGGCCAACAUGAGACAGGGUUUCGUCAUAUUGCCCAGGCUGGUCUCGAACUCUUCGGCUCAAGCGAUCCUCCUGCCUCGGCCUCCCAAAGUCCUGGGAUUACAGUUUGCCUAGCGCACCCGGCAAGCCCACCCGGAUCGCGGCCAUCUCCGGGACCACUCGAUUCUCGGCCCCACCCACGCC